UCUGUCUGUCAGUCCGUCCACCAGGUGGUUGUCAGACGAUAACUCAAGAACGCUUGGGCCUAGGAUCAUGAAACUUCAUAGGUACAUUGAUCAUGACUUGCAGAUGACCCCUAUUGAUUUUGAGGUCACUAGGUCAAAGGUCAAGGUCACGGUGACCCGAAAUAGUAAAAUGGUUUCCGGAUGAUAACUCAAGAACGCAUACGCCUAGGAUCAUGAAACUUCAUGGGUAGAUUGAUCAUGACUUGCAGAUGACCCCUAUUGAUUUUGAGGUCACUAGGUCAAAGGUCAAGGUCACGGUGACCCGAAAUAGUAAAAUGGUUUCCGGAUGAUAACUCAAGAAUGCAUACGCCUAGGAUCAUGAAACUUCAAGGGUAGAUUGAUCAUGAAUCGCAGAUGACCCCUAUUGAUUUUGAGGUCACUAGGUCAAAGGUCAAGGUCACGGUGACCCGAAAUAGUAAAAUGGUUUUCGGAUGAUAACUCAAGAACGCAUACGCCUAGGAUCAUGAAACUUCAUGGGUAGAUUGAUCAUGACUCGCAGAUGACCCCUAUUGAUUUUGAGGUCACUAGGUCAAAGGUCAAGGUCACGGUGACCCGAAAUAGUAAAAUGGUUUUCGGAUGAUAACUCAAGAACGCAUACGCCUAGGAUCAUGAAACUUAAUAGGUAGAUUGAUCAUGACUUGCAGAUGACCCCUAUUGAUUUUGAGGUCACAAGGUCAAGGUCACGGUGACCCGAAAUAGUAAAAUGGUUUUCGGAUGAUAACUCAAGAACGCUUUUGCCUAGGAUCAUGACACUUCAUAGGUACAUUGAUCGUGACUCGCAGAUGACCCCUAUUGAUUUUCAGGUCACUAGGUCAAAGGUCAAGGUCACAGUGACAAAAAUCGUAUUCACACAAUGGCUGCCACUACAACAAACAGCCCAUAUGGGGGGCAUGCAUGUUUUACAAACAGCCCUUGUUAU